rnacentral:rRNA from 1 species
GAUGAACGCUGACAGAAUGCUUAACACAUGCAAGUCUACUUGAAUUUGGGUUUUUUAACUUCGAUUUGGGUGGCGGACGGGUGAGUAACGCGUAAAGAACUUGCCUCACAGCUAGGGACAACAUUUGGAAACGAAUGCUAAUACCUAAUAUUAUGAUUAUAGGGCAUCCUAGAAUUAUGAAAGCUAUAUGCGCUGUGAGAGAGCUUUGCGUCCCAUUAGCUAGUUGGAGAGGUAACGGCUCACCAAGGCAAUGAUGGGUAGCCGGCCUGAGAGGGUGAACGGCCACAAGGGGACUGAGACACGGCCCUUACUCCUACGGGAGGCAGCAGUGGGGAAUAUUGGACAAUGGACCGAGAGUCUGAUCCAGCAAUUCUGUGUGCACGAUGACGUUUUUCGGAAUGUAAAGUGCUUUCAGUUGGGAAGAAAAAAAUGACGGUACCAACAGAAGAAGUGACGGCUAAAUACGUGCCAGCAGCCGCGGUAAUACGUAUGUCACGAGCGUUAUCCGGAUUUAUUGGGCGUAAAGCGCGUCUAGGUGGUUAUGUAAGUCUGAUGUGAAAAUGCAGGGCUCAACUCUGUAUUGCGUUGGAAACUGUGUAACUAGAGUACUGGAGAGGUAAGCGGAACUACAAGUGUAGAGGUGAAAUUCGUAGAUAUUUGUAGGAAUGCCGAUGGGGAAGCCAGCUUACUGGACAGAUACUGACGCUGAAGCGCGAAAGCGUGGGUAGCAAACAGG